CUUUUGUCUUUCCUCCAGAUUUGGAAGGAAAAUGAAUCUGCUCCAAGUAGAUGAAACCCAAUGAAGUCAGAAGCUGUGAAUACACAUGUGCAUUACGCAAGACUCUGAGACUGAGUGGUAUAAAAAAGUAGACAAUAUCAAUUCCUGUCCUCAAGGACCUCACAAUCUAAUUGGAGAAUUUUAAUAGGAAUACCUAUAAAAUCUAGCAUUUGGGUGAAAUAAUAAUCAACUUCCCAUUCAUAAGUGAGGGGAGGCAUGUUUAGAAGGCAGGCCAUCUAAAAAAAGAAGACCUAGAGAUUUUAGUGGACUGCAAACUCAAUUUGAAUCAGUAAUGUGACAGGACAGCCAAAAAAAGUGGACACAAUCGCAGAGUGCAUCGAGAUCCAUAGCUUUCUAGGAAAGGGAAGUGAUUAUCCUGCUCUGCCUUCAUCUUCACCUGAACUUCACCUGUGGUUCUGGUACACCACAGUUUAGGAAAAACCUAAGCCAGGAACAUUCAAAAGAGGACCAUCAAGAUGGCGAAAGACCUAGAUCUCUUGCCAUGUAGGAAUCAGCUGAAAAACAUUUAGCAUAGCAUAGAAAAAAAAAAGACUAGGGAGACAAUGAGAGCUGUCUUCAAGCAUUUGAAGAACUGUUAAAGGAAAGAUGCAUUAGACUUGUCCUAAUGGGCCCUAGAGGUGCCCUAAGACCAAAGGCGAGAAAGUAGAUUUCCGAAUUAUCUAAGGAAAAUUUUCUCAAAAAUGAGGUAUGUCCCCAAAAGUGAUGGGAUGCCUCAGGAGCUGGUGGGUACCUCCUCACUGAUAGUCAUCCAGUAGAAGUAAGACCAUUUAUUGGGGAUGUUAUAGAAAGAAUUUCUGUUCAGAUAUAGGUUGGUUCAGAUGAGCCUUGGUGGGGGGGGCACUCAACACUGAGAUUUUAUAUUUCUAUGGCUUCCUCCGUUGGAGAAAGAGAGUAUCUCCUCAUUCUAGAACUCUUAGGUAUGAAGUUACAGGAAAAGCCUUUCUGUACCUCGAGAGAAAAUAGUCACAGAGCAACCUGGCCCCUUGGGAAGCUAGCCAAUUGCUUCGAAUACAGUGCCUGCAUAUAGAAGAAACUCAACAAGUAUUUCUCUAUUGACAUCCUUUACAUCCAUCAGAGACAUAUAUUUUUCUUUUCUGAAGAGGUGGUAAAGACAUCACUUCUCAGUGGAACAACCAUAUCAGGACCUGGUGUCACUGUAUUGUUUGCUUCAUCAUUAUCAUUCUUGUGAUUAUUAAGGCUUGGUGUCCAUGGAUUAUUUUAAAAUAACUAUGAGUAUUUUUUCUAUGGAUCCCAUAUUUUACUAUAUCCCAAAGAGUUUGGUGAAACCACUUAGUAAAUUAUCUUUUUUAGUUAACUUAAUGAUGUCCUAAUGCCAUGGCAUACCAAGUUCCUGUUCCUUUUGCAAGGCUGGAAGCACCGUAGGAUCAUAGAUUUAAAAAUGGAGGAGAUUGUAGAUUAUCAUCUCAUCCCACUUCCUCAUUUUACAGAUUAAAAAAAUGAGGCCAAAAGUGAUGAAAUGACUUGCUCAAGGUCACAUAUCUAAUAAGUGACAGAGAUGAAAUUUAAACCCUUGUCUUCUGUCUUCAAAUUUAUGGCUUCUUUCUAUUUCUACCCCAAGUAGACACAACAAGUUGAUUGAAUGAACAAAUGAACACAUUAAGGGAACUGAGGGAGGGCUAACAUACCUGAGGGUUAAUCUGAAUGGUUUUUAAAAGAAAGUCAUCAUCAUCAGUAGGACCAGUCAAUGUUGAUUAACCUUAGUAACUUUCCUUCAAGUUGCAAUAAAAAUCUAAUCAACUCUUCA
rnacentral:lncRNA from 1 species